CAUCUAGGGGGCCGAAAUUCUGUCCUAGUUCAUCAAGAGAGGCACUCGAGGGAAUCUCCCAGAGGAACUCGGAGUGGACACCUAAGACGCUUGUUUAAGAACUACUCGCUUGUUUUGACUAGGGUUCGAGACCAAGGGUGCUCGUGAGUAGUACUAGAUUGU